CGCGCUUGGUUGAAAAGCC
rnacentral:snRNA from 1 species